GGGCGACAAAAAGGAGUGUAAUUUAAUUGAUCCAAAUGAACAAGUAAACCAAAGAAGAAGAAGAAGAGGAGGAAGAAGAAGAGUAGGCAAAAAAAAUCAGAAUUAGUUGGUGCUUCCAUCUGUUGAGAGAUUCACAGUAUAGAGAUGAAGCAGUAAAAGAAAAAUCCCUCGUCAGUUUUUACACAUUUUCACGGGUCACAGAACAG
rnacentral:misc_RNA from 1 species